GGGGUGGCUAGGAAAAACUCCCUAGAAAGGCCAGGAACCUAGGAAGAAACCUAGAGAGGAACCAGGCUAUGAGGGGGUGGCUAGGAAAAACUCCCUAGAAAGGCCAGGAACCUAGGAAGAAACCUAGAGAGGAACCAGGCUAUGAGGGGGUGGCCAGUCCUCAUGAUCUGACAAACAUCUUUCAGCGGAGAUGCGGAAGUGCGAAUUUGGCAGAUACGGUGGAUUGAAACGCGUCCAAUUGCAAAAUACAGUUGAAGUCGGAAGUUUACGUACACUUACUAGGUUGGAGUCAUUAAAACUCGUUUUUAAACCACUGCACACAUUUCUCAGAAAAGCUGAGUUUAAAUAUAUUUGGCUAAGGUGUAUGUAAACUUUCGACUUUAACUGUGUAUCAGAUAUCUCUAACUUUAACUGACUGAUUUUGAUGGGGGUUAUAUAAAUGUUAAUUACACUGGCUAAGCAGAAAUCGACUCUAGGGGGUUUAAACAGUGUGUGUUUGAGAAUGUGCCAUUGGGUUGGUCUAUUUCAUAUGUCUCCAUAGAUACCAGCCAUUAGUCUGAUCAAUGAGAGAUGAGCCGGAGCUGUAUAGAAAAUGUCUCUAGAGUCCGAUUGGUCAGAGCAUCAAACUAUUAAAAAUGUCUCUGGAGUUUUGAUUGGUCAGAGCUGCAAACUAUUAAAAGCUAAAUCUGAACAGCUGACACUCUCACGAACAUGUGACAUGUUUUGCUCUAUGAUGCUACACAACAACAGUUGUUAGACUGUAAGGGGUUCUUCUACAUAGACCAUAGUAAAUCCCAGGUCAUAGUGUCUAUAAUACUGUAAGGGGUUCUUCUACAUAGUAAAUCCCAGGACAUAGUGUCUAUAAUACUGUAAGGGGUUCUUCUACAUAGUAAAUCCCAGGACAUAGUGUCUAUAAUACUGUAAGGGGUUCUUCUACAUAGACCAUAGUAAAUCCCAGGUCAUAGUGUCUAUAAUACUGUAAGGGGUUCUUCUACAUAGACCAUAGUAAAUCCCAGGUCAUAGUGUCUAUAAUACUGUAAGGGGUACUUCUACAUAGACCAUAGUAAAUCCCAGGACAUAGUGUCUAUAAUACUGUAAGGGGUUCUUCUACAUAGACCAUAGUAAAUCCCAGGACAUAGUGUCUAUAAUACUGUAAGGGGUUCUUCUACAUAGUAAAUCCCAGGACAUAGUGUCUAUAAUACUGUAAGGGGUUCUUCUACAUAGACCAUAGUAAAUCCCAGGACAUAGUGUCUAUAAUACUGUAAGGGGUUCUUCUACAUAGACCAUAGUUAAUCCCAGGUCAUAGUGUCUAUAAUACUGUAAGGGGUUCUUCUACAUAGACCAUAGUAAAUCCCAG
rnacentral:lncRNA from 1 species